rnacentral:lncRNA from 1 species
CUUUUUUUCAUUUUUGGUCAAUUCAGUGCUUGUAAAAUUUAUUGCCAUUAAAAACGAUUUUGGUGUACCAGAUUUCACCUGAGGAGAAGAGAACCAUAAUUAACCUUUUCCUCCCUUUACCUUAUCUACAACCUCUACAGCAUCACAUUCACAAAACACAAUCAUUUCAUUUCUUCAAACCCUUGCAAUAAAUGAGGAUUUGCAGUUAGUGGAACAUAGGAAGUUUGGGUUGUGAAUCUCUUAAAUUCAAUUGUGAUUAAGGCCUUAUUCGAAGCAGGUAAUUCGUUGUCUAUAAUUUUCUCAACUUUGUCUAUCAGGAUAUCUGGGUUUUAUCUUCUUCUUCUUCUUCUUUUUUUUUUUUAAAAUAGCAUUUGCUUUAUUUAACUAGAAAUGAAGAACUUAGGAUCUGGGCUUUCGAAUAUCAUUCAAAUUUCAAUUUUGAGUUAAUUGUUGGCUUGUUGGGUAGCACUCAAAUCGUAACUUACCUAUUGCGGACCUGACUCCUGUGUCCAGUUGGCUCAUUUUUGUAAUUAGGUGACUUCACGGAGUUUGGGGUGGUUCAUAAGCAUUAGAAAGAAAAAGUAUGUGAGCCGCCUCCAAUGACUUCGCGUACCAUCUUCUAGCAUGUUUGGGGUAAGUGGAUGUUGAUACCAUCAUUACAAGCACUUCGGGAAGUACUACUUGUAUUUUGUUCAAUUAUAAACAAGAAUUGUGUGGGUGACCUGUUUGACAAUUUAAGAGGUUGUAUGAGCGAGCACUUUAAGCAAGCCAUACUUGCUUGAGCGAGAAUAUUCUCACUCUGGGGGCACUGAAAUUCGCACUUCAAAGUAUUCUUGUUCCCUUAAGUGAAUUUGCAUAUUUGCCUAAAGCUUCCCAUAUCCUUGAAAUUAUUUGUUGUAGAAGCCCGUUAGCAAUUUCAAACCAAGAGGGUGCAAAUAUUGUUUCGAGGAAAGAGUUUCCUUUACGGGUUUCAAGCCCUCCAUUUGCGGUUUUGCCUCCUCUUUUGUUUGCAUUUCAGCCUCCUUUUCUAAUUUUCGACAGUACACAAGUAGAAAAUUGGUGGCUAAAGUUUUUAUAAGCCUAUGAGUCAAGCCUAAACUUAGCGAUGUGGACUAAAUUGGGAUGGUUAAUGUUAAGAUAUACACAUCAACAAAGCAAAGCCUUCGAGAUAACUUGCACCAGAUUCUUAAUCCCAGAACUUGCAGAUUGAACGCAUCAGAUUUAUUCUCUAGCUUCUCACAUGGAUUCUUCCAGGCUGUCUACAGUUGUCCACAGCUGUGUUAAUUAGUUUAGUUAGUUAGUUUAGUUACUUAUGUUCUCUAUAAAUACCAGACCUUGUAUAGCUUUUAGAUCAUUGGAUUGUAGUUAUUCUCCAAUCCCUCCUUAUGGAGGUUUCUUUUCCUCCUACAAUGGAGUGUCUUUUAUAUGGAACUUAGUCCAGUUCCAUUUGUAUUCCUUUCCUCCUUUUAUGGAGUUCAAUUCAAUAUUGUUUCUUGCUUUAAUGAUGAAGUCUUUCAUAUUGUUUUCAUUCAAGAAUUUAACAUGGUAUCAGAGCAGAGAAUUCUUCCUGCUGCUGUUUUUUUUUUGUUUUGAGAUUUAAUUCAUCUCAUGUCUCUGUGUCCUGCUCAAUGAAAGCAGAUUUAUCACAGUUCAUACAGAUCAUCCUUCAAUUUGUCUACAUCUGAAGAUAACUUUGACUUCAGAUUUUUGCUCUUCUUUUCCAGCACCUGAAAUUUUGUAUUGUGUCUGUUUUUCCAGCAUUCCACUGGAUAUGAUUGUCUUUUCCAGCAUUCAUUGAAGGCAGGCCAGAUCCCGUUGAAGGCCUUUGUUUUCAGAAAAUUGUUGAUAAUGGCAGAGCCAUUCUCCUUCCAAUUUCCGGAUGCUAACUGAAGCUGAAAUAUUUUUGCUUCUUCGCCGAAGGAUUUCCUCCAUUUCAUGUCUUCAAUACAUUCAAAUUUCAAUCUUCAAAAUCUGCCCUUGCUACAUCAUGUUUGCAAGUGUUUCUACGUGAAUUUUUGGAAUCUGUGAAUGACAGUUUGGUUGUUGAAGCUUUAACAAGUGCAGAUAGGCAGAAAAAGGUCAAUUAUGGUUGGGCCUGCAUCCUUUUCCACUCUUCUCUUUAGUAACUGAAGCUGCACACAAGAUGUUUGAUAAAAUGUACAGCAAAGCUCUUCCUUAUUAUUUCUGGGUCUGGAGUACUGGCAUUUUGCUUAAACAACAUUGUGAAUCCAGGAACUUGUUCCAAUUGAUCUAUAUCAGAUUUUAUCAUCUUUAAUCUUCAAGAUGGACUAUAGUUGAUCUUCCAAGUCCAUCUUGAGGGGGGGUGUUAAGAUAUACACAUCAACAAAGCAAAGCCUUCCAGAUAACUUGCACCAGAUUCUUAAUCCCAGAACUUGCAGAUUGAACGCAUCAGAUUUAUUCUCUAGCUUCUCACAUGGAUUCUUCCAGGCUGUCUACAGUUGUCCACAGCUGUGUUAAUUAGUUUAGUUAGUUAGUUUAGUUACUCAUGUUCUCUAUAAAUACCAGACCUUGUAUAGCUUUUAGAUCAUUGGAUUGUAGUUUCUCUCCAAUCCCUCCUUAUGGAGGUUUCUUUUCCUCCUACAAUGGAGUGUCUUUUAUAUGGAACUUAGUCCAGUUCCAUUUGUAUUCCUUUCCUCCUUUUAUGGAGUUCAAUUCAAUAUUGUUUCUUGCUUCAAUGAUGAAACCUUUCAUAUUGUUUUCAUUCAAGAAUUUAACAGUUAACAUAAUUUGUAAUUGCGUUCUAAUUAUUGUGUCACCUAUGUCAGUUCAAAGAUGGGGAAAUUAAAUUUAAGAUUCUGUUCUUUUGUUACUUCUCUACAAUAAAUGAAAUAGUUCCCUUUCUUGGAGUGAUUUGGCGACCUGCAGUUGGAUAUGCCUUUUGUACAUUUCGAUGUUCAAAAUACCAAGAGAAAAAUGAUUGAAUCAAAGAGGGUGAUUGAUUUUAUAUAAACUGCAAAUUCUUUACAUUUUCUAGUCUUGGUUAAAUUUGUGCAUAAAUAUGUUAUAUUGUUGGUGCAGAUAGUUUUGUCUUAUGCAUGGGAUGCAAAAAGAUGACUCAAC